UGAGCCAACAACAAAACCUGGAAACAGAAAUUCACUGUCAGCCAAACCUACAUUUCAUGUUUCAUCAUCAGUUCAUGGUCUGUGGCGUAUCGUCAUCGUCUCUGUGGGUUUAGCAGCUCUUUCAAUAACUGUUGUGAGCGUCAACAUUUGGACCAGAACUAAAGAGCAUAAAGAAGAUGACGGUGCAGUGAACGAUGAAAACAUCUGAUUUUGUUUCCACCAAACUUUUUUCAACAUCAACUCAGAAAAACUAUCACUGUUGUGUAAUUUCAUUUUAUAUAAUGUCACAUUUUAAGACUAUUGUACCAUAAAACAAUAUGGUAUUAUAGUUAUAACGGAAUUAAAACAAUAUUUCUACAUGUAAUAUUUAGAGGGUUUUUAAGUAUUGCACAAAUUUUGAUGUUUGUUUCUUUAAAUGAAAUAAGUAAUGAAAAAUUUAAUUUUGUCAUGAAUUGUAGGUGAGGUGGUGAGAGAACGCAGGCAGGACCCAGUUAUAGAUGAAUGAUGGUGAGUUUAAUAAUGGAAAACAGCUCAGGCAGUCCAGAUUACAGGCUGCAAGGCAGAGCAGAAGCUAAAGCUCAGCGCCGGUAGCUAACAGUAACAAUAAAUGGACUUACAAGAGCUAAAGCCUACAGGACUCAUCAGUACAACUGAUACAACAAAACGUGACAAACAACACGACUGACUGACUGAGAUACAAGACAAGGAUCCGACAAGAGACAAGAGACAAAGACAUAAAUACACAGAGGGUGAUCACAGAAGACGAGACGCCUGGAACAAAUCAGGACAGCACAGAGACUCAGGAACAGAACCUAUAGAAACACAGAGAAACUCAAAUCCUCACACAUUUUGCUUAACAAGCAGAAAUCAAAAAUCACAUUAAAGAAACA